GGGAAAAAUACGAAAGGUUAUAGUCUCCGUCCUGGACAAAGUUUCUUGCUAAUGAGAGCAAGUUAUAAGCAAUAGUUUCUCACACACAAAAGUUAAGAGAUAUUAAAUUAAAAAAAAAAAA